GGGAUGAUGAAGCUCGGAGACAAAGAGCAGCAAGUAAAUUGCAGAAUGAUCGUGUGAAGAAGACACACACACGUAACCGUGCUGGUAGGGCCAUACCUGUUCAAGGAGCCAAUGCAGAACUCCAAUCAAAUAUUGAUAGACGGCGUCUAAUUACUCAUGCAAAUGCAAAGAGCAAGAGCGAAAAGUUCCCCCCUCCACAUCAAGAUGGGGCACUCGGGUUCACAUUGGGAUAUUCACGUCAUAUUGAUCCAGCUGUUAUUCCUUCUGAUGUUCCAUUUAGCUCCACAUCAUUUG
rnacentral:misc_RNA from 1 species